GACGAACGCUGGCGGCGUGCUUAACACAUGCAAGUCGAACGGAAAGGCCCCUUUUGGGGUGCUCGAGUGGCGAACGGGUGAGUAACACGUGAGUAACCUGCCCUUGACUUCGGGGUAACUUCAGGAAACUGUGGCUAAUACCGGAUAGGAAUCCUUGCUGCAUGGUGGGGGUUGGAAAGCUUCGGGGGUUUUGGCUGGACUCGCGGCGUAUCAGCUCGUUGGUGGGGUAGUGGCUUACCAAGGCUUUGACGGGUAGCCGGCCUGAGAGGGCGACCGGCCACAUUGGGACUGAGAGACGGCCCAGACUCCGACGGGAGGCAGCAGUGGGGAAUAGUGCACAAGGGGCGCAAGCCUGAUGCAGCAACGCCGCGGGUGGGAUGACGGCCUUCGGGUUGUAAACCGCUUUCAGCAGGGGCGAAGCUUGUGGUGACGGUACCUGCAGAAGAAGCACCGGCUAACUACGUG
rnacentral:rRNA from 1 species